GACAGAGGUGCGAGCGUUGAUCCGGAAUCAGCUAGGGCGUAAAGGGCGCGUACGGCGGUUUGGCAAGUCUAAUGGUCGAAAGCUCGCCGCUCAACGGCGAGUCGGCCACGGAUACUGCUGAACUGGAGCACUGUAAGAUGGCAGGUGGGAAUUCCGGGUGUGAAGCGGUGGAAUGCGCAGAUAUCGAGGAGGAACACCGGUGGCGAAGGCGGAUC
rnacentral:rRNA from 1 species